rnacentral:rRNA from 1 species
GCAGUCGAACGAGCUUCCGUGUGAAUGACGUGCUUGCACUGAUUUCAACAAUGAAGCGAGUGGCGAACUGGUGAGUAACACGUGGGAAAUCUGCCCAGAAGCAGGGGAUAACACUUGGAAACAGGUGCUAAUACCGUAUAACAACAAAAUCCGCAUGGAUUUUGUUUGAAAGGUGGCUUCGGCUAUCACUUCUGGAUGAUCCCGCGGCGUAUUAGUUAGUUGGUGAGGUAAAGGCCCACCAAGACGAUGAUACGUAGCCGACCUGAGAGGGUAAUCGGCCACAUUGGGACUGAGACACGGCCCAAACUCCUACGGGAGGCAGCAGUAGGGAAUCUUCCACAAUGGACGAAAGUCUGAUGGAGCAAUGCCGCGUGAGUGAAGAAGGGUUUCGGCUCGUAAAACUCUGUUGUUAAAGAAGAACACCUUUGAGAGUAACUGUUCAAGGGUUGACGGUAUUUAACCAGAAAGCCACGGCUAACUACGUGCCAGCAGCCGCGGUAAUACGUAGGUGGCAAGCGUUGUCCGGAUUUAUUGGGCGUAAAGCGAGCGCAGGCGGUUUUUUAAGUCUGAUGUGAAAGCCUUCGGCUUAACCGGAGAAGUGCAUCGGAAACUGGGAGACUUGAGUGCAGAAAAGGACAAUGGAACUCCAUGUGUAGCGGUGGAAUG